GGAGGCUAGGGCUAGCAAGCCAGUAGUUAAUAUUAGGCUCUUUUCGCCGAGGGAUCGGGUUAAGGGUAGGCUAAGAAAGUCGCAUGACAAUUAAUUAAUCAAACUAAUAAUUCAAGAGGAGUAGAUAAGAGAGAGCGGAUAAGAUGAAAUUGUAAACCCCUAACAACAUUCAUUCAUCCAUUGCUUUCUUUUGUCAAUUGAAUCAAUCUUUUUUGCAUGCUAAUAUUUUUUUUCUCAAAUCAAUUUAUUUAUUUUUACUUUCAAGUCUUAUUAUUUUAAUUCACGUGAACGAGAAAGCCUUUUGAGUCUCAGCCUUUUGAGUCUCUUGGGAAGAACGAUAUUGGGUUUUACCAAUUAUAUUACUUGAACAAUUUGAUACGCUUGCCAAUCCGUCAACAAGAUUUUGGCGCCAUUAUCGGGGACUCGAGGUUUAUUUUUCUAGUAGUGUGGAUUAAGUGAAUUCGACUUGGUUGUAAUUAUUUUUGUUUAAUUGCG
rnacentral:lncRNA from 1 species